UCUAUGGCUCUCAGAAAAUCC
rnacentral:piRNA from 1 species